AACGGCGGCCGUAACUAUAACGGUCCUAAGGUAGCGAAAUUCCUUGUCGGGUAAGUUCCGACCUGCACGAAUGGCGUAAUGAUGGCCAGGCUGUCUCCACCCGAGACUCAGUGAAAUUGAACUCGCUGUGAAGAUGCAGUGUACCCGCGGCAAGACGGAAAGACCCCGUGAACCUUUACUAUAGCUUGACACUGAACAUUGAGCCUUGAUGUGUAGGAUAGGUGGGAGGCUUUGAAGCGUGGACGCCAGUCUGCGUGGAGCCGACCUUGAAAUACCACCCUUUAAUGUUUGAUGUUCUAACGUGGACCCGUAAUCCGGGUUGCGGACAGUGUCUGGUGGGUAGUUUGACUGGGGCGGUCUCCUCCUAAAGAGUAACGGAGGAGCACGAAGGUUGGUUAAUCCUGGUCGGACAUCAGGAGGUUAGUGCAAUGGCAUAAGCCAGCUUGACUGCGAGCGUGACGGCGCGAGCAGGUGCGAAAGCAGGUCAUAGUGAUCCGGUGGUUCUGAAUGGAAGGGCCAUCGCUCAACGGAUAAAAGGUACUCCGGGGAUAACAGGCUGAUACCGCCCAAGAGUUCAUAUCGACGGCGGUGUUUGGCACCUCGAUGUCGGCUCAUCACAUCCUGGGGCUGAAGUAGGUCCCAAGGGUAUGGCUGUUCGCCAUUUAAAGUGGUACGCGAGCUGGGUUUAGAACGUCGUGAGACAGUUCGGUCCCUAUCUGCCGUGGGCGCUGGAGAACUGAGGGGGGCUGCUCCUAGUACGAGAGGACCGGAGUGGACGCAUCACUGGUGUUCGGGUUGUCAUGCCAAUGGCACUGCCCGGUAGCUAAAUGCGGAAGAGAUAAGUGCUGAAAGCAUCUAAGCACGAAACUUGCCCCGAGAUGAGUUCUCCCUGAGACUUAGAGUCUCCUGAAGGAACGUUGAAGACGACGACGUUGAUAGGCCGGGUGUGUAAGCGCAGCGAUGCGUUGAGCUAACCGGUACUAAUGAACCGUGAGGCUUAACCUU
rnacentral:rRNA from 1 species